GUCCGUGAAGCCAUCGCCGCCGCUGAAGCUCUGGGUCGCGUCAGCUUCUCACCGAGCUCCCAUGGGUGUUGCUGUCGAGCUUGCGGGUGAGAGAAAGGGAGUCUGUGGGUGAGAGAGGAAGGUAUUCCACUGCCGUUCGUCCACGCGGCCGCCGCUGCGCCU